GCUGGGCAUCGAAUUGACACCACCAAGCUGAAAGCUUGUGGUGGAGUUCUAACCACCUUGCUGUGGAGACUGAACCUGCCAGCUGUCGCAACCCAGCUCUUCCCUUAAGCUGCUGCUGGCCACUUUGAUGCAUCAAGGGCCCCAGUUGCUUGCAUGCAAUCAGGCGGCCUUGAUCUUUCCAUGGAGAGAAUUUAAAAGCCACUUAAUGUGUCAUUCUUCUUCUUCAUUUCCUCCAUUGAACCAUUCAGUAAACAGAGAGAACAAAGAGAGAAAAGAAGCAAACGAGAGAGAAGAAAAGAUAACAGACCCAUGAGGUGAACUAGAGAGAAGAAAAGAUAGCAGACCCGAGAGGAAGUGAAGCAGACUUGCUUCGUGUGGCAUCUUCAUCCUCUCACAGUUUCUCUAAUCGUUUCGUAGACUAAAGAACGUUAAAAAUUACGAAAUUUGGUGAGUGUUUAUGGUUAUAUCUUAGCUAAGUUUCAGCAAAAACAGAGGACUAAAAGCUUUCUCCUUGAAGGAGAUAUCCAAGGACGAACACCAAUAGCUCAGAAUCAAGAAUCAGGGCAAACAGAUUAUCCUAGAAGGAGAAAAAAUUCCCCAACCACCGACUGAUCCUGCAUGCAACUUCGGUUUACUAACGAAUCCGUGUUUAUAUUUCUUCAAAGAGACUUUGGAGCUAGAGAGGGAUUCUUGGAAGUUGUCUUCUGAUCUUUUGUAUUUUGUAUUUUAGAGGCUCGUGGGAUUGACAUGAGGAAGUAGGGAUGAUUAUAUUUCAGAGUAUGACACGAGGAAGAGAGGAAUCUGUUGAACGUCUUGAUGAGGGUCCCGCCAGGGCUGAGUUCCUCAAAACGAUUCAUAGUUGUCCAGAGUAUGGUUGGUACCAUGACCCAGUUAGUUUAGUUGCAUCAUAAUGAUGAUCAUCUCUGUCCUGAAGAUCAUAUUCGCUGCAACCGGACCAUUGCAGUGAUAUCUUAGAUUUCCAUAAGCUCAAUUCUUUCCAUUUUGAGGGCGGUACUAACUCGAUGAUCGUCAAGCGUUAGGGGAUGCAAAUUGAGAAGAUUUUCUCUGUCUUAGAGAUGACUGAGAAGCAGAAAGUUCCUCUUGUUGCUUUUGUCCUGAUUGGAGAAGUAGAACAUUAGUGGAGGCUGAAGAGAGAUCUGUUGCCUACUCCUACUAUUUGGGCACACUUUUUGGAGGCUUUCUACCAGAACAUUUUUCCUACUUGGGUUUGCGAGAAAAAAGAAGUGUUCUAAGAUCUCCGCCAGGGAGGUCUUUUUGUGAGCCACUAUGCAGCUCGUUUCAUUCAUUUAUCUUAGUUUGAACCAUAGUUGGUCUUUACUGAGGCCAGAGAGCUAAACAUUUCCUCAAGAUUGAGGGCAGAUAUCUAAGAUAAGGUGCCCAUGCUUAGGCUAACCACUUAUGCCUUAGUCCUUGAGCAUGCUCAUCUCGUAUAAGAGCUCCUUUCUGGUAGGUUCCAUCGUACAAACAGUUCUCAAGCUCCUCAUGAUUUGAAGAGUACACAUCCAAUUCAGCACGGUCCUGUGGACAAGUGUCCCCAUGUUUUUCUUGCUUCACCACCACCACUUCCAUCAGGUACUACUUCUGGUCAAGAUCCCGUGGACAUUGUGAGGGUAAGCACGGUGAUCGUCCUUGCUACAAGGUGAACAAUGUUUGCUUUUGGUGUGGCAAGCCUGACCACUAUCCAAAAGACUAUCCUCAGGGAGUUCGUAGACUGCCCACCAAUGGACGUGUUUAUGUUAUGAUAGAGCUUGAUAUUGAGGCUACACCUACAGUCAUUGAAGGUACGCUAUCUAUUUCUGAUUUAUUUGCACACACUUUGAUAUCUUCAGGUGCUAAUGAUUCUUUUGUAUAUGUUGAUUUUGCUAAGAAGUUUUUAAACUAGUAUCCUUAGAUAAGACUUUGUUAGUAGAAACAACCACACGUGAUAUCAUUAUAUCCAAUCUAGUAUACAAAGCUUCUAAAGAUAGAUAGAAAAGGUUGGAGAGAGUGACUUUAUGAAAUUCUCUCCUUUCUAAAGCUGCGAAAGGCGGCCCCCCAGAACAAAGCCCCACCCCUCUUUUCCCCCUUUAAUGAAAGACCCUCGCCUCGCUUCCUAUUCAUUUGUGGGUCGGGACCCGAGGGCCUUUUUUUUUCUCAAGAGGAGAUUUAGAGAAUCAACCAACCGACAAAUCCGUAGCCCGGGUGACUCACAGCCUCCCUCUCGCCCAAAUGAAAUGGGAUGAAUCAAAUCAAUAAGCUUUUUGAUUGAUUCAGGGCGCAGCGAAGCCAAAUUCAAUCAAGGCAAAGGGGGGCUUACUUUUCCUGACGCUGAGUCAUCCUCUUCAAAUUUAGCUAUGCUAAUGGAAGAGGAAAAGUUUGAAGAUGAUAUGGACCCCCAAGAGAUGAGCGAGAACCUCCAAUUGCUUAGGGGUCGCACUCUGUCCCGCUUGGCGGACGAGAUCUUCUCUCCUUUUAUCAUUCUUUCUCCCACACACCUUUUCCCUCUUUGAUAUCUUCAGGUGCUAAUGAUUCUUUUGUAUAUGUUGAUUUUGCUAAGAAGUUUUUAAACUAGUAUCCUUAGAUAAGACUUUGUUAGUAGAAACAACCACACGUGAUAUCAUUAUAUCCAAUCUAGUAUACAAAGCUUGUAGGGUUAAGGAUGUAGGUAGGGAACUAUCUGUGGAUCUUAUACUCCUAGACUUCCUAAAUUUGACGUACUCUUAGGCAUGGACCAAUUAUCCGCCUAUCAUGGCACCUUGAAUUACUUCAACAAAACAGUUGUAUUUAAUCCUCCAAAUGAUAGAUCUUAUAAGAUGUAAUCUAUUUUAAAAAUUAAUAAAUAAUAUUUCUUGCUUUAAUGUCUUUUAAUUUAUUACAAUAAUUUAAUGAUUUGAAAUAUUUUUAGAAAUGUUUAGUCGGUUCAGGAUAUAAAGGUACAUAUGUUAGAAUUUUAAGGAUAUUUGGAUAGUUUCAAAAUUUGGAGACAAAUUUCUUAAGGGGGGUAGAUUGUGACAUCCUGCAUGUAGAAAAAAAUUUUUUUUUAGUACAAGGAGAGGCAAAAGUGAAAAGAAAAUUAAAAAAUUAUCAUGCACAUUCAGGACCAAGAGACACCAAUGAUAUUGUUAGUGAGGAGCUAUUGGAGAUCAUUUGGUACUUAAACAUGAGAGUGGAGACCCAUCGGUAGAGAAAAGCCACCAUUUGCCAAUCAGUCAGCACAUUUAUUUUCUUCGCAAUAGACAUAUUAGAUCCGGACCAGCAAUAACAAGUGCUUGAUUUCACAAACGAGGGCGAGAUGCACAUUAAUGCCGUAUCCUCUUAGUAA